rnacentral:lncRNA from 1 species
AUGCCUCCGGCUCCUCUGCCGCCCUCCCAGCUCCUGGAGCUUGGACAGAAGCGAGAAGUCAGUAACUGCCUUUUACGUCCGGAGGGUUGUGCCUUUUUUUUUUUUUUUUUUUUUUUUUUUUUUUUUUUUUUUUGUGGGGGAGGGGAAGCAUCAUUUCCGACAGCACCGUUCACUUCCGGGGAAAAAGCAGCCCUUAAAAAACGCGACCGUGCUUGUUCACUCUCGGAAAGGAACAGCCCCGUUUGGAAAGUCUGUGGGAAAAAAAAAAAAAAAAAAAAGAGAGAGAAAAAGAAAAAAAAAAAAGCCACACCCCCUUCUUUUCACCCUCAGUAUUCUCCAGCCAACGCACGCACCGACGGUCAACGCCACCGACUUCAUUUCGUUCGGGCAAAGAAACCAGGAAAGCACCUUAACUCGGGAACGGGCGGAGUUUGGCCGCAGCGGCCAUCCCGUGGGGAGAGAUUCUGGAUUAUUCCCGUGGGGAGAGAUUCUGGAUUAUUCAUUUCCCUGGAGAGAGAUUCUGGAUUAUUCCGAGCAAUAAGAGCCCCCCCUCCGUGGGAAUCUAGGGAAGACUGGAAGUAUUAAGCACGCGUGACUCGACCUGCCAAACCGCGGGAACCUGCACUUUUCAGUUCGCUUUAGAGGAACCGACUUGAUUCGAUGAUUUCUUGGGACGGGGAUCAAGUGAUUCGGGGUCGAUUGGGUGAUUGCUGGCCUGGGACGGGCACCGCACAUGGCUCGGGGGUCGCCGGGGCUGUGCCAAGGUCCCCAAGCCCCGCUGGGCCACCCGCAGCUCCGAGCUCGCAGGGAGAGGGCGAGCGAUAAAAAACCUGGGCAGAAAUGCCCGAAAAAGGGAGAUUUCUGCUCUCCCCUGCAGCCAGCGGGAGCUCCGAGCCCCUGAGCGGCUCCGGGCUCCGUGCUCGGUGUUUCGGAGCCGUUCCCAUCCCAGCGUGGGAUGUUCCUUUCCAACAGCCCCGCGCAGCCUCGGCCGCCAGCGAUGGCUCCUGUCCAGACCAAGACUAAUUUAGUGUUUGUUUGUCUGCUCUGGCAGUUUAGCUGAGUGUCCAUUUCCACCUACAGAACCCUCACACUGUGUAUAAAGAUGGAUCAAAAAUAUAUAUAAUAUAUAUUCUUGUGAAUGUUGGUGCAAAAGAGAAAAAAUAUAUAAAGUUUCAGUCGGUUUUAUGUUAUUUUUUAUCUCUAUGAAUGAAAGGAAGAAAUGGAAAACCUUUUAUUUCCAUUUACCGCCCUCCACACACACCUACCUGUAGAUACCAACAGGUUUUAUGGAAAUGUUUUACUUUUUAGAUUUAGGAAAAUGCUUCUGUUCUCAUUGAAUGUUCUGUCUUGUAAGAUUGUAAUUUCUAUUUUUUUAAAGAAAAAAAAAUAACUAAAUAAAAUUUCCUCUUUCGGACCAGUCAGCUUAGGAAGGGAGGGCAGGGGAGGGAGAAAUGUUUAUUUAAGGACAAAACUGUUGUCAGAAUUUGUUCAUAACAUUAAAUAAAAGU